UGCAAGUGGAACGCAUGAUUGAUACCGGAGCUUGCUCCACCAUUAAUCAUGAGUCGCGAACGGGUGAGUAACGCGUAGGUAACCUACCUCAUAGCGGGGGAUAACUAUUGGAAACGAUAGCUAAUACCGCAUAACAGUAUUUAUCACAUGGUAAAUGCUUGAAAGGAGCAAUUGCUUCACUAUGAGAUGGACCUGCGUUGUAUUAGCUAGUUGGUGGGGUAACGGCUCACCAAGGCAUCGAUACAUAGCCGACCUGAGAGGGUGAUCGGCCACACUGGGACUGAGACACGGCCCAGACUCCUACGGGAGGCAGCAGUAGGGAAUCUUCGGCAAUGGGGGGAACCCUGACCGAGCAACGCCGCGUGAGUGAAGAAGGUUUUCGGAUCGUAAAGCUCUGUUGUAAGAGAAGAACGUGUGUGAGAGUGGAAAAUUCACACAGUGACGGUAACUUACCAGAAAGGGACGGCUAACUACGUGCCAGCAGCCGCGGUAAUACGUAGGUCCCGAGCGUUGUCCGGAUUUAUUGGGCGUAAAGCGAGCGCAGGCGGUUUGAUAAGUCUGAAGUAAAAGGCUGUGGCUUAACCAUAGUAUGCUUUGGAAACUGUCAAACUUGAGUGCAGAAGGGGAGAGUGGAAUUCCAUGUGUAGCGGUGAAAUGCGUAGAUAUAUGGAGGAACACCGGUGGCGAAAGCGGCUCUCUGGUCUGUAACUGACGCUGAGGCUCGAAAGCGUGGGGAGCGAACAGGAUUAGAUACCCUGGUAGUCCACGCCGUAAACGAUGAGUGCUAGGUGUUGGGUCCUUUCCGGGACUCAGUGCCGCAGCUAACGCAUUAAGCACUCCGCCUGGGGAGUACGACCGCAAGGUUGAAACUCAAAGGAAUUGACGGGGGCCCGCACAAGCGGUGGAGCAUGUGGUUUAAUUCGAAGCAACGCGAAGAACCUUACCAGGUCUUGACAUCCCAGUGACCGUCCUAGAGAUAGGAUUUUUCUUCGGAACACUGGAGACAGGUGGUGCAUGGUUGUCGUCAGCUCGUGUCGUGAGAUGUUGGGUUAAGUCCCGCAACGAGCGCAACCCCUAUUGUUAGUUGCCAUCAUUCAGUUGGGCACUCUAGCGAGACUGCCGGUAAUAAACCGGAGGAAGGUGGGGAUGACGUCAAAUCAUCAUGCCCCUUAUGACCUGGGCUACACACGUGCUACAAUGGCUGGUACAACGAGUCGCAAGUCGGUGACGACAAGCUAAUCUCUUAAAGCCAGUCUCAGUUCGGAUUGUAGGCUGCAACUCGCCUACAUGAAGUCGGAAUCGCUAGUAAUCGCGGAUCAGCACGCCGCGGUGAAUACGUUCCCGGGCCUUGUACACACCGCCCGUCACACCACGAGAGUUUGUAACACCCGAAGUCGGUGAGGUAACCAUUUGGAGCCAGCCGCCUAAGGUGGGAUAGAUGAUUGGGGUGAAGU
rnacentral:rRNA from 1 species